CUGUCACUCAGCUUUCCAUAUCCGAUUGCAUCGCCACACACCGCACAUGUCAUUCGGGUUAACUGAUUGCACUAGCGUGUUGGGAUUGCUCAUUUAACAUAUGCUGGGAUUUUUAUAGUCUUAUGGGGUUUCCUUGAAAGUUUCCCAUUGUGCUAAACAAUUGUACAAGGGGGAUUCCAAAGAACAGGUGACAGAUGUUUCCCUUGAGUUUCUCAGUAAAGAUCUGAUCAAAGGCAAAUCAUCUUGAAACGUAAUCAACAUGGUAAACUAAUUAAUCUCACUAACCUGUAAUAUCACCGUUUUGCCUAGGGCUGACACACACACAACCAUGCCCUACACAUAACGAAGAUUGUAGACAAAUAUAGACUCUGUAAGUUAAGACGGAAUGUUUUCAGUAGCUCAACAUGUCACUGAUUGUUUAAACAGAUGUCAGUAAUAAUGUUUGAAUAGGAUUAGGGUAUGUUUUAUAUAUAUAUAGAUAUAGAUAUAGAUAUAUGUACAUGUAAUCAAAUACUUAUAUAUGAAGGACUUUUUUUUCUAUUCUAUUUUCAUUCAUCAUUGUGACAUUGAGCUUACUAAUGAGACACACUGAGACACUGACAUUUCCAGCAAAAAGUGUGAUGGCAGACAACUCAGCAGACAUCAGUACAUCUGCAGGCUAGCACUUUCUAGAGUCUUCUAGAACCCUCCAAGGUGUCCCCAGUUUAAGCAUUGGUAAUAGAUUAGUGCUGGUAAUAGAAUGAGUAUUCUACUUCAAAUAUACUUACAAAACAAUUCUGAUAGAACCAGUAGGCUGACAAUAGCUUAAAGGCCUUGUACAUCAGAAUGCAUCACAGGAUUUUUUAUUGGCAAGCCACAUUGAGAGGACUGGAGGACUCGUUGUAGUAGGCCUAUUGUGAAAUCCUGAACACAUUUAAAUAUUCUGUGACCUGGGCUAAUGUCUCACCAUAGUGACCCAUCAUUGCAUUGUGUAUAACCGACCGAAACCAAAUAUCUACAUAAUAACAACUAACUGUACAAUGGUCCUAUGCUUCUAAAAUGGAGAUGGUGAUUGUGCGAUGUCGCGCCUUUCGAGCCCUAUAGUUGGCUUACAUUAAGCUAGCAGGCCAUAGCCCUAAAACGUAAAAUAGCCUAGGUCAGUAGAACAGCAGCCUAUUAUAUUAUCCUUCGGUAAGAACUAAAUUUCACAGGUACUAUGUUAUUUGCAUAAUUGUUACAUAUGCGAUCAGAGGGAUCAAUGAAAGUGGAAUUUGUCAGUGGAAACUGUUCUCCAACAUUUGGCUUUAGCUAUAUUCUGGUACACUUUUAAUACUUGUAAACAGGCUUGCUUUUAUUACCUCACUGUUAUCAUGGUACUUCUGAUAAAAGCACAUGACAAUAUAACGUGCACGUUUUGUUGACAGAUUUAGUGUGCUUACGUCAUUUCACCACAGUUUCCUAACUUUCUGUACAGCACUUCCUGUAAUGUGGACAGUGUAGCGCAUCUCUGCCAACAUGUGGGAUUUGAAGAUGAUGCUUUUGUUGCUCCUAUGCCUGCUACUGCCAUCUUCAACGGGUGAGUACUGGUCUCUCUAAUCCUGGUAUGUUCUGGUCUCUACUGGUAUGUUCUGGUCUCUAGUACUGCUUUGUUCUGGUCUCUAAUACUGGUAUGUUCUGGUCUCUAAUCCUGGUAUGUUCUGGUCUCUAAUCCUGGUAUGUUCUGGUCUCUAAUACUGGUAUGUUCUGGUCUCUAAUCCUGGUAUGUUCUGGUCUCUAAUCCUGGUAUGUUCUGGUCUCUAGUACUGGUAUGUUCUGGUCUCUAAUACUGGUAUGUUCUGGUCUCUAAUCCUGGCAUGUUCUGGUCUCUAAUCCUGGUAUGUUCUGAUCUCUAGUACUGGUAUGUUCUGGUUUCUAAUCCUGGUAUGUUCGGGUCUCUAGUACUGGUAUGUUCUGGUCUCUAGUACUGGUAUGUUCUGGUCUCUAAUACUGGUAUGUUCUGGUCUCUAAUCCUGGCAUGUUCUGGUCUCUAAUCCUGGUAUGUUCUGAUCUCUAGUACUGGUAUGUUCUGGUUUCUAAUCCUGGUAUGUUCGGGUCUCUAGUACUGGUAUGUUCUGGUCUCUAGUACUGGUAUGUUCUGGUCUCUAAUACUGGUAUGUUUUGGUCUCUAGUACUGGUUUGUUCUGGUCUCUAAUCCUGGUAUGUUCUGGUCUCUAAUCCUGGUAUGUUCUGGUCUCUUAUCCUGGUAUGUUCUGGUCUCUAGUACUGGUAUGUUCUGGUCUCUAAUCCUGGUAUGUUCUGGUCUCUAGUACUGGUUUGUUCUGGUCUCUAGUACUGGUAUGUUCUGGUCUCUAGUACUGGUAUGUUCUGGUCUCUAUUUAUGGUUUUUUCUGGUCUCUAGUACUGGUUUGUUCUUGUCUCUAGUACUGGUUUGUUCUGGUCUAUACUGGUAUGUUCUGGUCUCUACUACUGGUAUGUUCUGGUCUCUAGUACUGGUAUGUUCUGGUCUCUAAUACUGGUAUGUUCUGGUCUCUAAUCCUGGUAUGUUCUGAUCUCUAGUACUGGUAUGUUCUGGUUUCUAAUCCUGGUAUGUUCGGGUCUCUAGUACUGGUAUGUUCUGGUCUCUAGUACUGGUAUGUUCUGGUCUCUAAUACUGGUAUGUUUUGGUCUCUAGUACUGGUUUGUUCUGGUCUCUAAUCCUGGUAUGUUCUGGUCUCUAAUCCUGGUAUGUUCUGGUCUCUAAUCCUGGUAUGUUCUGGUCUCUAGUACUGGUAUGUUCUGGUCUCUAAUCCUGGUAUGUUCUGGUCUCUAGUACUGAUAUGUUCUGGUCUCUAGUACUGGUAUGUUCUGGUCUCUAUUUAUGGUUUGUUCUGGUCUCUAGUACUGGUUUGUUCUGGGGCCGUAUUCACAAAGCAUUUUAUCUUACCGCUAGGAGUGCUCCUAACUCGCGCUAAAACAUUUUACGUAGGAGUUUUUUCUUAAAAGUCAUUCACAAAGCCGCUGAGACCUACUCUUACUAAGGAUAAAUCACAAAGAGUGAACUAAGAGUGACGCGCCGUUGCUAUGGAUUACGUCAAUUCUCGUGCACGAGUUUAGAAGCUGUCAGUUCGGUGAUUGGUUGUUCAGACGAGCCCACUGAAUCACCGAAAAACAAGGAAAUAGCCUAGGCUAGAAAUUAAUUCCUAUUAAGUAGUUAUUGUGCAGUUAGCAGAAUACACGCAUGAUGACAAUUUUGUGCAGACCACGAUAAUGACGUUGUAGCCUGCACGUUCAAGAGAGAGAGAAAGCAAACAAUAAAAAUACGUAAAAUCUAAAAGAAAAUAAAUGUUACGAACUACCCAAGUGUUGACUGAUUUGUGCCAAGGUGUUUACCUAAAAUGUGUUUUCAAAGUGAUCCCUAAAUGCCUGUCCACUCGGUUCCACACGGCCAAAUUCCUUGUAAUGUUGAUCGCCAUCAUCAUCAUCAUCAUCAUCGUCUGGCUGUGGAAUGUUCCUCCGCUUGCAGAGGUUGUGUAGAAUGGCACAUACAGUGAUUACUGUGCUUGCCCUCUCUGGGGUGAGGCGUAUUUCGCCGUGGAGGACAUGAAACCGACGUUUCAUCUGCCCAAUUCCUCUCUCCACAACAUUUCGUGUAUGUUUGUGUGCUCGCAAAGAGCCAAUACGAUGUGUUUUACGCAUAGGACUAGCGUAAUCUGCGUAAUCACUUACAUUUAACUGUGCUCCCGGUUGUGGAUUGAGGUAGGGUGUCUAGAGCCACGUCUUGCAUGGAUAGUCACUGUCACCCAGCAAGUGACACCCAACUGGUACAUCUCAAAAAGCUGCCUCAGACCGCUCACCAUUAAAAUGCGCGAAUCAUGGGUAGCUGAAGAUCCAGGCCACUUUGCAACAACAUCCAGUAGGCUAUGUUAAAAUUUGCAUCAAAAACAACCUGCGUGUUGAUGGAAUGCACUUUCUUCCUAUUGACGAACACGUCCUCGUCUUUUGAUGGCGCAAUUAUUUUUAUUUUUUAUAAGUUAUAUUUCUUUUUUUAUAAUUUAUAAUUUUUAGAACAUUUUAUUUCGGGACUAAUCGGAUUAUUCCUGUUAGUCGGUGAUGUUAUUGCAUCGCGCAUUAACUCCACAAUAAGUUGAAUACCCUAACAUUUCGUCUCGCAGGCAUUUUAAGAUUCUUUGUGAAUAGGUCUUACUGAGUUAGGAGUCCUCUUGAGGACUUUUAAGCUCUCCUAGACUUAGGUGCUACUUUUAGUCCUAAAAUACUUUGUGAAUUGCUCUUAGUGAAAAAAGUUAGGAGUCCUAAAUUUAAGAGAAACACGCCCAUUAUUUUUAGGAGUUACUCCUAAAUUCGCCAGUUAGGACCUACUUUUAGCCCUAAGAUCCUUUGUGAAUACGGCCCCUGGGGCCGUAUUCACAAAGCAUUUUAUCUUACCGCUAGGAGUGCUCCUAACUCGCGCUAAAACAUUUUACGUAGGAGUUUUUUCUUAAAAGUUAUUCACAAAGCCGCUGAGACCUACUCUUACUAAGGAUAAAUCACAAAGAGUGAACUAAGAGUGACGCGCCGUUGCUAUGGAUUACGUCAAUUCUCGUGCAUGAGUUUAGAAGCGGUCAGUUCGGUGAUUGGUUGUUCAGACGAGCCCACUGAAUCACCGAAAAACAAGGAAAUAGCCUAGGCUAGAAAUUAAUUCCUAUUAAGUAGUUAUAGUGCAGUUAGCAGAAUACACGCAUGAUGACAAUUUUGUGCAGACCACGAUAAUGACGUUGUAGCCUGGCCCUGCACGUUCAAGAGAGAGAGAAAGCAAACAAUAAAAAUACGUAAAAUCGAAAAGAAAAUAAAUGUUACGAACUACCCAAGUGUUGACUGAUUUGUGCCAAGGUGUUUACCUAAAAUGUGUUUUCAAAGUGAUCCCUAAAUGCCUGUCCACUCGGUUCCACACGGCCAAAUUCCUUGUAAUGUUGAUCGCCAUCAUCAUCAUCAUCAUCAUCAUCAUCAUCAUCAUUAUCGUCUGGCUGUGGAAUGUUCCUCCGCUUGCAGAGGUUGUGUAGAAUGGCACAUACAGUGAUUACUGUGCUUGCCCUCUCUGGGGUGAGGCGUAUUUCGCCGUGGAGGACAUGAAACCGACGUUUCAUCUGCCCAAUUCCUCUCUCCACAACAUUUCGUGUAUGUUUGUGUGCUCGCAAAGAGCCAAUACGAUGUGUUUUACGCAUAGGACUAUACGUAAUCUGCGUAAUCACUUACAUAUUACACUUUAACUGUGCUCCCGGUUGUGGAUUGACGUAGGGUGUCUAGAGCCACGUCUGGCAUGGAUAGUCACUGUCACCCAGCAAGUGACACCCAACUGGUACAUCUCAAAAAGCUGCCUCAGACCGCUCACCAUUAAAAUGCGCGAAUCAUGGGUAGCUGAAGAUCCAGGCCACUUUGCAACAACAUCCAGUAGGCUAUGUUAAAAUUUGCAUCAAAAACAACCUGCGUGUUGAUGGAAUUUACUUUCUUCCUAUUGACGAACACGUCCUCGUCUUUUGAUGGGGCAAUUUUUUUUUUUUUUUAUAAGUUAUAUAUAUUUUUUUAUAACUUAGAAUUUUUAUAACAUUUUAUUUCGGGACUAAUCGGAUUAUUCCUGUUAGUCGGGGAUGUUAUUGCAUCGCGCAUUAACUCCACAAUAAAUUGAAUACCCUAACAUUUCGUCUCGCAGGCAUUUUAAGAUUCUUUGUGAAUAGGUCUUACUGAGUUAGGAGUCCUCUUGAGGACUUUUAAGCUCUCCUAGACUUAGGUGCUACUUUUAGUCCUAAAAUACUUUGUGAAUUGCUCUUAGUGAAAAAAGUUAGGAGUCCUAAAUUUAAGAGUGACACGCCCAUUAUUUUUAGGAGUUACUCCUAAAUUCGCCAGUUAGGACCUACUUUUAGCCCUAAGAUCCUUUGUGAAUACGGCCCCUGGUCUCUAUUCCGGGUUUUUCUCGUCUCCAGUAUUGCUGGUUCUGGUCACUAUUCCGGGUUGUUCUGGUCUCUACUGGUGGUUCUGGUCUCUAUUCCGGGUUUUUCUGGUCUCCAGUAUUGUUGGUUCUGGUCUCAAACAACUUCUACAGAUAGACAACUACAACUUGAGUGAUGUGUAGGGUGUAAUGUGUAGUAUGUAGUGUGUAGUGCAGUAUUUAGUAGUUCCCAUUACAUUACACACUACGUGUGUAAUGUAAUGGGAAGUUAGUAGUGUGUUGUGCAGUGGGUAGCGUAUAGAGUUUAAUGUAUAGUGUAUAGUAUAUAGUGUGUAGGGUGUAGUGUUCGGUGUUUAGGGGGAAGUGUAAAUGAUGAAAGAGUGAGAGAGAGUGACUAUGGAAACUUUUUGUGUAUUUUCAGAGGUUGUAUAUGAAUGUCACCAUUUUCUCCCAUGUCUCCCCAAUACAGCUUUAUCAGAGGAGUUUGAAGGAUCUGCUGAUCAACCCGAUGAUGAGGACCUUAUCCCUGCCGUGGAUGUGAAACCCAAAAAGGAAUUCCACGAUAGAUUUGACAUGGGCAAAACUACAGGGGAAGAAGAAUCAGGCCAGUUUGUGGGGAUUGUCGUUGGUGUGGCUGUGGCCAUGGUGGCUCUGUCUGUCGCUGUGAUAAUCGCAAUACUGUUGGUCCGACGCAACAUGCAAAGGCGUCAGCAAGGCGUGUACUCGGUGCCCGCAGACCAGGACCAGAAGGUCUCCGUGUAGCUCCUGGGUUCCAGCCCCCCAGGACCCAGUAGAACAUCGAAAGGAGGACCAAUGCACUGACCACAUAUUUCACUCACAGGGUUAAGGGUUUAACCCCGGACAGGUUCAGGGUUUGACCCGGACAGGUUCAGGGUUUGGCCCGGACAGGUUUAGGUUAAGGCGCCAUCUUGCAUAUCCCUGUAUACUUGUAUUUCUCGCUGCUGAUCUGUGCCACGCUCAUAUUAAUAAUUAGCAAGUGAUGUUUGCCUUUCUGUCAUGCUUCAAUCCUGCAUUUUUGCAUUAUAAUAUGAACACACCAUUUCACUUGGGAACAUUUGGAACACAUUAAGCCUUUUAAUAAGAUUCUAUUUAAAGAUGAAACGCGGGAGCCUUUAAAUGUUUCUUUAAAUGGAACGGCUUCUGUUGUGAGCGGGAUUUCUCCCAUUCCUCUCCGGCUAAGGUGCGUGGUGGAAACAUUGAUGUGGGGGAUCUGUUGGGACAGACCUGCCACGAGCGGAACAGGCUUAUUUCAAAGACAAACCGUGCUAAUCCACAGCAGAGUGGCUCAGUUCUCACUUCGGUUUCCUCUUCAUUUGCCUGACAUCCCCUGUUCUUCACCCAGUAGGAGUGGCAGGAGGGGAUGGGAGAUAAAGCUGGCUUUCCCCACAACUCAGGCCAGGCUCAACUAGUGAGUGUGUGUGUGUGUGUGUGUGUGUUUGUGUGUGUGUGUGUGUGUGUGUGUGUGUGUGUGUGUGUGUGUGUGUGUGUGUGUGUGUGUGUGUGUGUGUGUGUGUGUGUGUGUGUGUGUGUGUGUGUGUGUGUGUGUGUGUGUGUGUGCGUGUGUGUGUGUGUGUGUGUGCGAGAGUGUGUGUGUGCGAGUGUGUGUGUGUGUUUAUGUGUGUGUGUGCGUAUGUGUGUGCAGAUGUGUGUGUAUGCGUCUGUGUGUGUGUGUGUGUGUGUGUGUGUGUGUAUGCGUGUGUGUGUGUGUGUGUGUGUGCGUCUGUGUGUGUGUGUGUGUGUGUGUGUGUGUGUGUGUGUGUGUGUGUGUGUGUGUGUGUGUGUGUGUGUAUGCGUCUGUGUGUGUGUGUGCGUGUGUGCAGUGCUAGUUAGAACAUCCUGUUGCGAGGCAGUGAAUUAAUCGACCGCCAUGAAUGAUGACGUUUUUUUCCCCCCCCACUUCCUCCAGAAGACAAUCUCUCCAACGUCCUCAGCCUGGAAGAUUGUAAAUAAAAUAAAUAGCUCUAUGAUGGCUGGGGGUUGGGAAGAUGGGGUUUUAUAACCGGGACAGAGAGACAAAAUGGGGGUGGGGGAGAGAUUUUUAUACCCGUGACAGAAAGACAAGGGGGAGGGGCGGGGCAGAAUUUUCAAACAGCUUGUAAUAGACCUCUGAAGAAUAAGUCCCGGCUCCGAACCUCCCGGAUCCUCAAGUCAAAUGUCCAUGGGAAAUAACAUGUGGUUGUAGAAUGAUCGUACAUAACAAACUCUGUACUCAGCCUCGGGGGGCGGGACUUAUUCUUCAGAGGUCUAUGGCUGAUCACAUUCAAACCUGUUGGCCUGAUAUCACCCCUUUUAAGGUGCGCUUCUGGGGUCUCCGACCCAGUCUCACCCUUUGGAUGUGGUAUAUUGUUACGCCUACGAUCUGUUAAAAAUUGUAUGUAUAGGCAUUGUAUCUCAUGGUAAAAAUAAGACUGUAUAUAUAUAUAUAUAUAUAUA